UACGUAGGGCGCAAGCGUUAUCCGGAAUUAUUGGGCGUAAAGAGCUCGUAGGCGGUUGUCGCGUCUGCCGUGAAAGUCCGGGCUCAACUCCGGAUCUGCGGUCGAUACGGGCAUGACUGGAGUUCGGCAGGGGAGACUGGAAUUCCUGGUGUAGCGGUGAAAUGCGCAGAUAUCAGGAGGAACACCGGUGGCGAAGGCGGGUCUCUGGGCAACAACUGACGCUGAGGAGCGAAAGCGUGGGGAGCGAACAGG
rnacentral:rRNA from 1 species